CAGCCGUAAACUAUGCGCGUCAGGUGUAUCGGUGACCACGAGUUACCGAGGUGCCGAAGGGAAACCGUGAAACGUGCCGCCUGGGAAGUACGGUCGCAAGGCUGAAACUUAAAGGAAUUGGCGGGGGAGCACCACAACAGGUGGAGCCUGCGGUUUAAUUGGACUCAACGCCGGGAAGCUCACCGGAUAGGACAGCAGAAUGAUUGCCGGGCUGAAGACCCUGCAUGACUAGCUGAGAGGAGGUGCAUGGCGUAGACGUCU
rnacentral:rRNA from 1 species